GAUAAGUGCGGGCGAUGUCUCUGCGAAUCAGCUUCUCGCAGGGCGACGUCAUCUUCAGGAGCUCCGAGUACUGAUCCUUGAUGGGCAUAUUCUGGGCAUUACACAACAGCUGCCACACGAUUGCCCGAAAGUGGAUCCAAGAGUCCUCCUCGAGGUGGGAGAGGUUGGAGGAGGCAGAGGAGCUGGACACCAGGGAGGAGCCACUGUUUCGUCUGGAGCCAUUCAUGGAGCGCAGCGACUUGCUGUCUGUCUCCAGCAGCCUGUCGUAAAGAGGGUGGAGGAGGAACAGACGCAAGUGGGGGAAACGUGGAUGCCAGAUAAGUCAUUCCCCAGCUGCAAUGACGGUAUAGACACACCGAGAUAUGGACAACCCGGAAACACUGACCAUUGAGAGCAGACUGGAAACAGAGUGUUUCAGACAGAGGGCCACACAACCACCAGACACCACAAUGAAUCAUCGAGCAUUCCGUUACAGUAACCUGCUGACACUUGACAGAGUGAUGUAGGUUUUACAUUUUGUGGUAUACCGCCAACAACAGCAUGAAAAACAAGUACUUGGAUCGGUGCUCCUUAAUAGCCAAUCUGCUGUCAUCAAAACAAGCCGCUACAGAGAGAAUGCUAGCAUUGUGUCUGCAGUCUUCCUCUUUGAGAGCAAAGAAGAAAACAUGAGGUUUCUUCACAGACCGACUCCCAAUGUGGGACACCAUGCAGAACUAAAUGGGGGAGAGAAAAGAUGACCACGUAGACUAAACACCACGUGGGGCCAAGUGGAGGUUAAGGCAAUGAAUGAGGACAAACUGUGUGGCCCAGCAGGAGAGAGCAUGGCCAUCUUCAGGGAAACAUGCUGUCCAUGUGCUGUGUGAGGAGGAAGAGAUCUCUGCGGAUAAUUUGGCUCACGUGUAAAUCACCGGGUCUGUUUGUUUUGGAGAGGAGGAGACAACUGUGGAUAAGUCGGCUCCUGGUAAAGAACUCCUGAAAAAAUAAAUCAGACAAAAGAGGAGGAGAGCUCUGCGGAUAAUUUGCCUACCAUUAAAAAUGUCCUGAACUUCUGGAUUUGAAGUUAUCAGAAAAGAAAGGUGAGCAGACAUUAGCAGGCACUGGGCUAGAGGCCUGUCUGGGACUUAUCAAACAGCACUGGAGAAACACUCAUUCAUUACGUGAAACUGCUUUUUCAGUGUUUUUACCAAUUGAAAUCACCUUGCCCGUUUGUUUUG